CCUGGCUCACGUUGAGGGCUAGCUACAGGCUUAACACAUGCAAGUCGAGGGGCUGCAUGGUCUUAGCUUGCUAAGGCCGAUGGCGACCGGCGCACGGGUGAGUAACACGUAUCCAACCUGCCGUCUACUCUUGGACAGCCUUCUGAAAGGAAGAUUAAUACAAGAUGGCAUCAUGAGUCCGCAUGUUCACAUGAUUAAAGGUAUUCCGGUAGACGAUGGGGAUGCGUUCCAUUAGAUAGUAGGCGGGGUAACGGCCCACCUAGUCUUCGAUGGAUAGGGGUUCUGAGAGGAAGGUCCCCCACAUUGGAACUGAGACACGGUCCAAACUCCUACGGGAGGCAGCAGUGAGGAAUAUUGGUCAAUGGGCGAGAGCCUGAACCAGCCAAGUAGCGUGAAGGAUGACUGCCCUAUGGGUUGUAAACUUCUUUUAUAAAGGAAUAAAGUCGGGUAUGCAUACCCGUUUGCAUGUACUUUAUGAAUAAGGAUCGGCUAACUCCGUGCCAGCAGCCGCGGUAAUACGGAGGAUCCGAGCGUUAUCCGGAUUUAUUGGGUUUAAAGGGAGCGUAGAUGGAUGUUUAAGUCAGUUGUGAAAGUUUGCGGCUCAACCGUAAAAUUGCAGUUGAUACUGGAUAUCUUGAGUGCAGUUGAGGCAGGCGGAAUUCGUGGUGUAGCGGUGAAAUGCUUAGAUAUCACGAAGAACUCCGAUUGCGAAGGCAGCCUGCUAAGCUGCAACUGACAUUGAGGCUCGAAAGUGUGGGUAUCAAACAGGAUUAGAUACCCUGGUAGUCCACACGGUAAACGAUGAAUACUCGCUGUUUGCGAUAUACAGCAAGCGGCCAAGCGAAAGCGUUAAGUAUUCCACCUGGGGAGUACGCCGGCAACGGUGAAACUCAAAGGAAUUGACGGGGGCCCGCACAAGCGGAGGAACAUGUGGUUUAAUUCGAUGAUACGCGAGGAACCUUACCCGGGCUUAAAUUGCAGAUGAAUUACGGUGAAAGCCGUAAGCCGCAAGGCAUCUGUGAAGGUGCUGCAUGGUUGUCGUCAGCUCGUGCCGUGAGGUGUCGGCUUAAGUGCCAUAACGAGCGCAACCCUUGUUGUCAGUUACUAACAGGUUCCGCUGAGGACUCUGACAAGACUGCCAUCGUAAGAUGUGAGGAAGGUGGGGAUGACGUCAAAUCAGCACGGCCCUUACGUCCGGGGCUACACACGUGUUACAAUGGGGGGUACAGAGGGCCGCUACCACGCGAGUGGAUGCCAAUCCCCAAAACCUCUCUCAGUUCGGACUGGAGUCUGCAACCCGACUCCACGAAGCUGGAUUCGCUAGUAAUCGCGCAUCAGCCACGGCGCGGUGAAUACGUUCCCGGGCCUUGUACACACCGCCC
rnacentral:rRNA from 1 species